rnacentral:rRNA from 1 species
UACCAGCACCCCGAGUGGUCGGGGCGUUUAUUGGGCCUAAAGCAUCCGUAGCCGGUUCUACAAGUCUUCCGUUAAAUCCACCUGCUUAACAGAUGGGCUGCGGAAGAUACUAUAGAGCUAGGAGGCGGGAGAGGCAAGCGGUACUCAGUGGGUAGGGGUAAAAUCCGUUGAUCCAUUGAAGACCACCAGUGGCGAAGGCGGCUUGCCAGAAUGCGCUCGACGGUGAGGGAUGAAAGCUGGGGGAGCAAACCGG